rnacentral:rRNA from 1 species
UUUUGAAAGGGAAACGAUUGAAGUCAGUCAUGCCGGUGGGAAUCAACUUAGGGGAAACUCUGGGUGCACUUCUUCGCUUGGCAGGUCAACGUCGAUUUUGAAUGUCAUAAAAUAAUUGGGGGAAGGUAGCUCCUUCGGGAGUGUUAUAGCCCUUGAUAGAUGUGAUGUUUGGGGUCGAGGAUUGCAACGGAUACCCUUCGGGGCUAGCCGCCUGAUCUCUAAUUGGUGUUGGGUUACGGAUAGCAUGCUGACCGUGAUCUAAUUACUGGU